UAGGGAAUCUUCGGCAAUGGGGGGAACCCUGACCGAGCAACGCCGCGUGAGUGAAGAAGGUUUUCGGAUCGUAAAGCUCUGUUGUUAAGGAAGAACGAGUGUGAGAAUGGAAAGUUCAUGCUGUGACGGUACUUAACCAGAAAGGGACGGCUAACUACGUGCCAGCAGCCGCGGUAAUACGUAGGUGGCAAGCGUUGUCCGGAUUUAUUGGGCGUAAAGCGAGCGCAGGCGGUCAAUUGAGUCUGAUGUGAAAGCCCCCGGCUCAACCGGGGAGGGUCAUUGGAAACUGGUUGACUUGAGUGCAGAAGAGGAGAGUGGAAUUCCAUGUGUAGCGGUGAAAUGCGUAGAUAUAUGGAGGAACACCAGUGGCGAAGGCGACUCUCUGGUCUGUAACUGACGCUGAGGCUCGAAAGCGUGGGUAGCAAACAGG
rnacentral:rRNA from 1 species